GACGAACGCUGGCGGCGUGCUUAACACAUGCCAGUCGAACGGAAAGGCCCUGCUUUUGUGGGGUGCUCGAGUGGCGAACGGGUGAGUAACACGUGAGUAACCUGCCCUUGACUUUGGGAUAACUUCAGGAAACUGGGGCUAAUACCGGAUAGGAGCUCCUGCUGCAUGGUGGGGGUUGGAAAGUUUCGGCGGUUGGGGAUGGACUCGCGGCUUAUCAGCUUGUUGGUGGGGUAGUGGCUUACCAAGGCUUCGACGGGUAGCCGGCCUGGGAGGGUGACCGGCCACAUUGGGACUGAGAGACGGCCCAGACUCCUACGGGAGGCAGCAGUGGGGAAUAUUGCACAAUGGGCGGAAGCCUGAUGCAGCAACGCCGCGUGCGGGAUGACGGCCUUCGGGUUGUAAACCGCUUUCGCCUGUGACGAAGCGUGAGUGACGGUAAUGGGUAAAGAAGCACCGGCUAACUACGUG
rnacentral:rRNA from 1 species